rnacentral:rRNA from 1 species
ACCCGCUGAACUUAAGCAUAUCAAUAAGCGGAGGAAAAGAAACCAACCGGGAUUGCCUCAGUAACGGCGAGUGAAGCGGCAAAAGCUCAAAUUUGAAAUCUGGCCUCCUUCGGGGGUCCGAGUUGUAAUUUGAAGAAGCGACUCUGGUACCGGCCCUUGUCUAUGUUCCUUGGAACAGGACGUCACAGAGGGUGAGAAUCCCGUGCGAUGAGGGUGCCGGGUGCCAUGUAGAGCGUUUUCGACGAGUCGAGUUGUUUGGGAAUGCAGCUCUAAGUGGGUGGUAAAUUCCAUCUAAAGCUAAAUAUUGGCGAGAGACCGAUAGCGAACAAGUACAGUGAUGGAAAGAUGAAAAGAACUUUGAAAAGAGAGUGAAAAAGUACGUGAAAUUGUUGAAAGGGAAGGGCUUGGGAUCAGACAUUGUAUUUCCAUGGCGUUCUUUCGGGAGUGUCCUCUGGGUUUACAGGGCCAGCAUGGGUUCUGCGGGCAAGACGAGGGCCUUGGGAAUGUGCCUCCACUGCGGUGGAGAGUUAUAGCCUGGGGACGCCGGUUGCCACGCGGGACUGAGGAUUGCGAAUUUCUAGGAUGCUGGCAUAAUGAUCUUAAGCCGCCCGUCUUGAAACACGGACCAAGGAGUCUAACGUCUAUGCGAGUGUUUGGGUGUAAAACCCGUACGCGGAAUGAAAGUGAACGUAGGUGAGAGCCCGCAAGGGCGCAUCAUCGACCGAUCCUGAUGUCUUCGGAUGGAUUUGAGUAAGAGCAUAGCUGUUGGGACCCGAAAGAUGGUGAACUAUGCCUGAAUAGGGUGAAGCCAGAGGAAACUCUGGUGGAGGCUCGUAGCGGUUCUGACGUGCAAAUCGAUCGUCGAAUUUGGGUAUAGGGGCGAA